GGGGGCGUAAUGGUUUCGACGGGGAUGGUGCACGGCGGGAAGCGGGUAGCGGUGGGCGCCGCUUAAAAAGCCCAAAUUAAAAUUAAACGCUAACAAUAAUAAAUUAGCUUACGCUGCCUAAUUAGGCGGCCGUCCUGCCCGGGAGUACCGCGGCCCGGGACAGGGCGUCGAACAGCGGUGAACGUGAUUUAGCUAAGCUUUGCGCUAAACAUGACCAAUGAAGCUACUGAAGCUGUAAGUUUGUCUGUGGACUUGCAGCGGAGGGAAUGUUGACCAUAGACUGCACCCGGAGAUGCCUGUCGGAAUCUGUUUUCGGACGGGGGUUCGACUCCCCCCGCCUCCACCA
rnacentral:tmRNA from 1 species